UACGGGAGGCAGCAGUGAGGAAUAUUGGUCAAUGGCCGAGAGGCUGAACCAGCCAUGCCGCGUGCGGGACGACGGCCCUAUGGGUUGUAAACCGCUUUUGUUGGGGAGCAAUAAGGUCCACGUGUGGAUCGAUGAGAGUACCCAGCGAAUAAGCAUCGGCUAACUCCGUGCCAGCAGCCGCGGUAAU
rnacentral:rRNA from 1 species